UGGGGAAUUUUGGACGAUGGGCGAAAGCCUGAUCCAGCAAUGCCGCGUGUGUGAAGAAGGCCUUCGGGUUGUAAAGCACUUUUGUCCGGAAAGAAAUCCUCUGGGUUAAUACCUCGGGGGGAUGACGGUACCGGAAGAAUAAGCACCGGCUAACUACGUGCCAGCAGCCGCGGUAAUACGUAGGGUGCAAGCGUUAAUCGGAAUUACUGGGCGUAAAGCGUGCGCAGGCGGUUUUGUAAGACGGAUGUGAAAUCCCCGGGCUUAACCUGGGAACUGCAUUCGUGACUGCAAGGCUAGAGUGCAGCAGAGGGGAGUGGAAUUCCAUGUGUAGCAGUGAAAUGCGUAGAGAUGUGGAAGAACACCGAUGGCGAAGGCAGCUCCCCGGGUUGACACUGACGCUCAUGCACGAAAGCGUGGGGAGCAAACA
rnacentral:rRNA from 1 species